GUCGGUGCUUAUUGCAGUGAGGUCACACCCGUUCCCAUUCCGAACACGGCAGUUAAGCUCACUCGCGUCGAUGAUACUCGGCUGGUGACGGCCCGGGAAAGUAGAUCAGUGCCGGCA
rnacentral:rRNA from 1 species